GGUUGACCUCGGAUCAGGUAGGAGUUACCCGCUGAACUUAAGCAUAUCAAUAAGCGGAGGAAAAGAAACCAACCGGGAUUGCCUCAGUAACGGCGAGUGAAGCGGCAAGAGCUCAAAUUUGAAAUCUGGCCCCUCCGGGGUCCGAGUUGUAAUUUGCAGAGGAUGCUUCGGGAGCGGUCCCCGUCUAAGUGCCCUGGAACGGGCC
rnacentral:rRNA from 1 species